GGGAGCGCGCACACGCCUCCCGCAGCACUCAAGCCUCCGCGGCUUCUCCCUGUCGCGCGCCCUCCGUCCUGCGCGCAGCCCUACAGCCCGGCAGCCGCCCACCCAGAGAUGGUUCGGAUGCGGCGGGGAACAGCGAGCGCGUGCACGCUCUCCGGAGCUCUGGCGCUUCCUAAGCCCCGGGCCACGCACCCUGCGCCAGGGUCUGGCCUGGGCGGGGUGGGUACCGCUGGAACCGCUGCUGCGAGAGCAAAAGGACAAUGGGGGCUUUUAUCCUUGCAUCCACCUCUUCUUCCCUGCGACGUUCGCCUUUAGAAAAGGAGUUGCACCGGGAGGUUAGGGUGAGUCGUUUGUUUGCUUGGUUGGAGCUCAGUGAUGAUGUCCAGCUUGAAGACCGAUGACGCUGACCUCUAUGAGAGAAGCUUUGGGCGUUGGAGCCAGUCAUAUGUGUUUCUUCAAACGGUUAAUGGAUUCCUCCAUGUGAAUGCUAUUUUACCUUUCCCCUCGAGGGUAGCUGGGAACAGCCUACAAGUGGUUUAUCCAAUUCUUGCCUCAUGGCUAAGCACAGACUCAACUUUAACCAGAGGCCAGGUGCUUUGCCCUGGACUCCCGGUUAUUAUAGAGGAUCCUUGAGAUGACGUGAACGCUGGAGUUCUACCACCUCCAUUUUCUGACAAUGGACAUUUUCUUGAAUUUAUGUUAAUUGCCCCCCACAAAGCAGCCCACUGGCUAUCUUGUCAGCUCCCAGGCUGUGUAGAAGUCCUGAAACUGCACUAAUGGGAGGGAAAGGAUGGUGAAUCAUCAUUCUAGGAAUAGAAAUGCUCUUUGGAGAACACGGUCUGGAGAAACUGAUUUCCUCCCAUUUCUGUAAGAUCCCCAACUGUGGGCUUUUCAAGGGAAUAUGGUCCUUGACUUAAAAGGCAGUGUUCCCUGGAGAUCUGCCCACCUGCUUAAAAAGCAACCUGGGCUGAUGGAAGCAUAUUUUAGUACUAAAAUAAAACAAAAAAUUGUCAUAGUA
rnacentral:lncRNA from 1 species